CCUGGAAUGCAAGCAGAAAGGACACAGAGAUGGGAGAGGACAGGCAACUCAGCCUGUCACUCGGGUGCCUUAUCUGCUUAUCUGGGUUGAGGUUUAUGAGCUGUGUGACAUCAUUGUAAGUACCGGUGACUUUCCUUCUAGCCUCAGCUCUACGAAUGAGGCAGAAUGAAUCUUACUUUUCCUUGUAUUACUACUCACUGUUCAAAUUCUGUUAAGUAGUAAAGACUUUUGAAGACUUAUCCAAGACAGAAACACAUAGAUGUACUGGCUGUAAUUAAUGUGUUUUGGUCAAUGGCUGUUCUGUCAAUUAAUAACGAACAAGAAACAUCUUUGCAACAUCAAGCAAUUCAGAGUAAGGAAUGAAAAGCUAACUUCUCUUUCAGCAAAAGGUAAACUUGCUUGUAUGUGAGAGGCGUUUGUGUUGCUGAGUCCUAGACUCUGGCUCCCUGUCAGGGACAUCCCCUUACCUGUGGAGUAACUGAGGCAGUGUGUGCAAAUCCUUAAUACAAAUGCCUCUCACAGAGGACAGAGCUCUCCCUCUGAAGCCAGCUCAGUGAGAAGCAGUCAGAGAUGUGGAGAAGAAGUCUGUCUGCCUAAAGCAUUUCCAGAAACACUUUUUCCUGUAAAGCACAUUUUCCAUCUCAUUUACCAUUUUUAGGAGACACAGAGCCUAUGUUUAAAUCUAAAUUAAUAGAGCCAAUCUCUUCAUGGAUUUCAAUGCAGUAAAAAUGCAGUCUGCAGAAUUACUUCUCACUGUACUGAGGACAAUUUUAGAUUCAGAUACUUUUCUCAUUUUGCAUGGGUAAUCUCUAAAGCUUUGUGUUACAGACAAUUCAAUUUCACAUGUAUAUUAAGGCCAAGUUUUCAUUUCCUGCAGAAGUUAAUAACCUUGUCUGCUCUUUCAAAGCAGCGUGGUGUUAGUAAUUCCAGAAGUUGAUGAGCAGAUGUAAGGAUUCGAAGGGUUUGUAGACAAGUGUACGGAACCAUGCACGUGGCGGGGAAGAAAACCCUCCUUUUCACAAAUGAUCAACAUCAAGAGCUUCUCCCAGAAUUACCUCCCUAAUGGGCUUCAUCACCACCCACAUCACACACCUGCCGAUAUCAAAGAUGGCCGACAAGGUGGAAACCAAGAUGCAGCCUGCGGUCCUGCUGAUAAGCCGUCAGGCCUGGCCUGGGCUGGACACUGGGAAUCAUAAAGCACUGUAAGGCUGUGCACACAAACUGGCCUCCUUCCUCUGCCCAUUCCUGCCUCCUAGAGGCAGCCACCUUCAAUGAUGUCAUCUACUUGUCUGACUCCCUGCCUCCAAAUUUCUAAGAGAAAGCCUACAUAUUCUUUGUCAAUUCUUUCCAUUUCAGACAGUUUUUAAAAAAAUAUUCCCAUUUGGAAAUUUACCUUUUGUAACAGAGACAUUAAAGUUCUCUAGAUGUACA